rnacentral:rRNA from 1 species
UAGGGAAUCUUCCACAAUGGACGCAAGUCUGAUGGAGCAACGCCGCGUGAGUGAAGAAGGUUUUCGGAUCGUAAAGCUCUGUUGUUGGUGAAGAAGGAUAGAGGCAGUAACUGGUCUUUAUUUGACGGUAAUCAACCAGAAAGUCACGGCUAACUACGUGCCAGCAGCCGCGGUAAUACGUAGGUGGCAAGCGUUGUCCGGAUUUAUUGGGCGUAAAGCGAGCGCAAGCGGAAUGAUAAGUCUGAUGUGAAAGCCCACGGCUCAACCGUGGAACUGCAUCGGAAACUGUCAUUCUUGAGUGCAGAAGAGGAGAGUGGAAUUCCAUGUGUAGCGGUGGAAUGCGUAGAUAUAUGGAAGAACACCAGUGGCGAAGGCGGCUAUCUGGUCUGCAACUGACGCUGAGGCUCGAAAGCAUGGGUAGCGAACAGG